AGUGAACGCUGGCGGCAGGCCUAACACAUGCAAGUCGAGCGGCAGCGGGUCCUUCGGGAUGCCGGCGAGCGGCGGACGGGUGAGGAAUACAUCGGAAUCUGCCCUGUCGUGGGGGAUAACCUAGGGAAACUUAGGCUAAUACCGCAUACGACCUACGGGUGAAAGCGGGGGAUCGCAAGACCUCGCGCGACAGGAUGAGCCGAUGUCCGAUUAGCUAGUUGGCGGGGUAAAGGCCCACCAAGGCGACGAUCGGUAGCUGGUCUGAGAGGAUGAUCAGCCACACUGGGACUGAGACACGGCCCAGACUCCUACGGGAGGCAGCAGUGGGGAAUAUUGGACAAUGGGCGCAAGCCUGAUCCAGCCAUGCCGCGUGGGUGAAGAAGGCCUUCGGGUUGUAAAGCCCUUUUGUCCGGGAAGAAAUCGUCUGGGCUAAUGCCCCGGGCGGAUGACGGUACCGGAAGAAUAAGCACCGGCUAACUUCGUG
rnacentral:rRNA from 1 species